rnacentral:rRNA from 1 species
GUGGGGCAUAACCCGGGAAACUCGGCUUAUUCCCUAUAAGCCCUCACGGGGGAAAGCGGGGGCACCUUCGGGCCUCGCGCUAAUGGAUGAGCCUACGUCCGAUUAGCUUAUUGCAGGGUAAACGGGCCCUUACCAAGGUUAUCGAUCGGUACUGGUCUGAGAGGAUGGUCAGCCACACUGGGACUGAGACACGGCCCAGACUCCUACGGGAGGCACCAGUGGGGAAUAUUGGACAAUGGGCGCAAGCCUGAUCCAGCAAUGCCGCGUGUGUGAAGAAGGCCCGCAGGUCGUAAAGCACUUUCAGCAGGGAAGAAAAUCCCGGAGCGAAUACCUCCGGGCCUGACGUUACUUGCAGAAGAAUCGCACCGGCUAACUCCGUGCCAGCAGCCGCGGUAAUACGGGGGGUGCAAGCGUUAAUCAGAAUUACUGGGCGUAAAGCGCGCGUAGCGGCUUGGUAAGUCGGAUGUGAAAUCCCCAAGCUCAACUUGGGAACUGCAUUCGAUACUGCCAAACUAGAGUAUGGUAGAGGGAAGCGGAAUUCCCGGUGUAGCGGUGAAAUGCAUAGAUAUCGGGAGGAACACCAGUGGCGAAGGCGGCUUCCUGGAUCAAUACUGACGCUGAGGCGCGAGAGCGUGGGUAGCAAACAGGAUUAGAUACCCUGGUAGUC